AUUGAACGCUGCGGCAGGCUUAACACAUGCAAGUCGAGCGAGCGGCGGACGGGUGAGUAAUGCUUAGGAAUCUGCCUAUUAGUGGGGGACACCAUCUCGAAAGGGAUGCUAAUACCUCAUACUAACAGCUGAGGCACAGCCGGAUUAGCUAGUUGGUGGGGUAAAGGCCUACCAAGGCGACGAUCGGUAGCGGGUCUGUGAGGAUGAUCCGGCACACUGGGACUGGGACACGGCCCAGACUCCGACGGGAGGCAGCAGUGGGGAGUAUUGGACAAGGGGGGGAACCCUGAGCCAGCCAGGCCGCGUGUGUGAAGAAGGCCUUAUGGUUGUAAAGCACUUUAAGCGAGGAGGCGUUACUCGCAGAAUAAGCACCGGCUAACUCGGUGCCAGCCGCCGCGGUAAUUC
rnacentral:rRNA from 1 species